rnacentral:lncRNA from 1 species
CUGUGCUUUUUAUUAAUGCGGGUCUUAUGUCGCUUGAUUUUGUAUUGAGCACAAAAUCUUUAUUAAUUAAAAAGUAAUCAAUUCGACUUGCUUGACUGAAGUUUUGUCUUUUCCAGGUAAACUGUAUUUUUUUAGGAUUUAAAUAUCGCCAUAUAUCGAUUAUAUUGUGUGUUUUAAUUAAAGAUUUUAAACUAUUUACUAGUUUUAUAUUUUUGCGUUUUCCAUUAGUAACUUGUAUAUCUACGUUUGACAGUGCAUCGUUCAUGUCGCCGCCAGACAGAUUUUUAAAGAACUUGUUUCUUUCCGUUUCUAUGUUUGGUGCAUAUAUGUUAAUGAACGAAUAAAUUAUAUUUUCUAUUUCUAUGUUUAACAUAAGAAUUCUGCCGUCUUUGUCUUUGUUUUCAUUGAUUACUUUACAUUCUAACUUAUUAUCAAUUAUAAUGGCUACCCCUUUACUUUGGGUUGUACCAUGACUAAAAUAGAUAACGUUACUAGUUUCAGUAUAUAAUUUUUUUUCAAGAUUUUCAUCAAAGUGACUUUCUUGUAUAAAAGUUAUAAGACUUUUUUGAUUUUUUAUCCAUUGAUAAAAUCUU